CCUCCCAGACAGACGGGCCUCGAUCCCGUAAA
rnacentral:tRNA from 1 species